UACGAAGGGUGCUAGCGUUGUUCGGAAUCACUGGGCGUAAAGCGCGCGUAGGCGGCUUUUCAAGUCAGGGGUGAAAUCCCACAGCUUAACUGUGGAACUGCCUUUGAAACUGUAAAGCUGGAGUGUCGGAGGGGAUAGCGGAAUUGCUAAUGUAGAGGUGAAAUUCGUAGAUAUUAGCAGGAACACCGGUGGCGAAGGCGGCUAUCUGGACGACAACUGACGCUGAGGCGCGAAAGCGUGGGGAUCAAACAGG
rnacentral:rRNA from 1 species